UACCGGCCGUUCCCGCUCCCAGGGCGGUAGCCCUAGCUAGAGCCGUGCUGGAUGAGGACGCAGCCGCACACCGUCGUGCUGGCUCAACUUUAGUAGCGGUUGCUGGUCCCGUUGGCGUGGUGGGGGAGGAUGCAGCGGAAGUGGCUGAGGCUCUCCGAGUAGCCGCUACGCCGGUUCUUGGUCCAGCGGUACUUGGGCCAGUUGUGGCAAAAGCUACGUUUCGCAGAAUAACCGUCCUCUCAAUCGCUAGGAAGACAGGUCUCACUGUACUUCGACACCGGGAAGUUCCAGUAACGACCUGGACCUCUGUUCGGAUACUAACAACAAGUCAUGUUCCCACUCCUCUUCCUCAAACGACGACUUCUUUAGAGGAGGUACCAGGAGUAGUUCUACGCACUCUAUCGACUUCGCAUAGAACCGUCGUGGUAGUUCUUACGACACCAGUGACAGGGGCGGAUGAAGUUACUGAGGGUCUCCGUCCGGUGGUUCCUACGACCUCACUAACGUCCGGAUUUACAAUACGCGUAGUAGUUGCUCGGUUGGCGACGACGAUAACGAAUACCAGAACUGUUCUUCCGGUGGUCACAACCACUCUUCUUACAAGAGUAGAAACUGGAACCACCACCGUGGAAACUACAGAGAGAAGAGUGGUAACUUCUCCCGUAGAAACUCCAGUUCAGGUGACGACCACUGUGAGUGGAACCACCACUCCUGAAACUGUUGUCCUACCAGUUGGUGAAACAGGUUCUUAAGUUCUCCUUCUUGUUCUUCCUAUAGUCGCCGUUAGGGUCCCGAGAGGCAUCCGACUCCUGUCGAACACUCGCCCGCUUCUCCUGGGAGAGGAGGUGACGCGUCUGGUGGUAACUCUAGCUGAGCAACAUACUCCCGUAGCUGAAGAUGUGCUGGUAGUGGGCACGGUCCAAACUCCUCAACUUGUACCUGGAGAAGUCCUUCACGUACCUCGGACAACUCUUCACGGACUCCCUACGAUUCUACCUGUUCUCGUGACAGGUACUACAACAGGAACAACCACCGAGGUGGUCCUAGGGUUCCCACGUCGUCGACGAAGUCCUGAAGAAGUUACCGUUCCUCGACACGUUCUUGUAGUUGGGCCUACUCCGACAACGGAUACCACGACGUCAGGUCCGUCGGUAGAACUCACCUCUCCCGUUGCUCUUCCAGGUCCUGGAGGACGACGAACUACAGUGCGGAGAAAGAGAACCAGACCUCUGACGACCUCCACAGUACUGGCAAAACUAAGGUUCCUUGUGGUGGUAGGGGUGGUUCUUCCUCGUCCAGAAGAGGUGGAUGAGACUGUUGGUCGGACCACAGGAAUAGGUCCAAAUACUCCCGCUCUCCUGGUCCUGGGCGCUGUUGUUGGACGACCCGUUCAAACUCGAGAGGCCGUAGGGAGGACGGGGGUCCCCACACGGGGUCUAGUGCCAGACGAAGCUGUAACUGCGUUUACCGUAAGACUUGCAGAGACGCCUCCUGUUCUGCUGACCCGUCUUCUUGUUCUAGUGUUAGUGCUUACUGUUCCCGUCCGACUCGUUCCUACUCUAGCUCUUCUACCACGUCCUCCGUCUCUUCAUGUUCAGUCUCCUGCUCCUCGUGUUCUUCUUCCACCUCAGUUUCUUACGGGACCUCUUGAUACGGAUGUUGUACGCGUUGUGAUAGUUCCUGCUGUUCUAGCGGAGGUUCGAUCGACGCCUGCUGUUCUUCUUUUAGCUCCUGCGGUAACUGGUCCGGUAGGUCACCGACCUGCCGUUGGUCGAACGACUCCGUCUACUCAAACUGCUGUUCUACUUCCUCGACCUCCCGGAGACGUUGGGGUAUUAGCGGUUCUACAUGGUCCCACGGCCUCGACUGUACCGCCCACCGUACCUGCUCCUGCUACGCGGAGGCCGACGGCCGCCGCGACCGGGGUUCUAGCUCCUCUGGUACCUCCUGGCGACCUUCGCAUCAAGCACGUCAGCUGCCGAACGCGUACCUGCUUAUCCCGUCCUAAUUCUCCAACCUCCGGUACCUACAACCUCGGGUGUUAUCUCACAAGUCGAUAUUGUUCUUACUUCUAUCAAGUAGUCUUUUAGUUCGCUCCCCUAACGUAGCUCCACGACUGCCUCCGAGCCGUGGAAGAACUACACCGCCACCGUGAUGGCUGAAGGGUCGUCGAAGGAAACCACUCCCUCCACCGAGCUGGGUCGGUACCGCGAUCGCAACGUCUAAGGCCGCCGGUACUCUAACAUGUAGUGGGUGCCAUCGUAGGUCGAAACCAAACACAACACUUACUGUCGAUGCCGAACAUGAUACCUAGGAACCAUAGAAAUGUAUUUAAACUACUUGGACAGCUAAACCUACCAAUAACCAGCGGAUGUACACAAAGGACUUCUACAGAUUUCGAAGGAAUUCUUUACACUAAGACUAGAAUCAGUUAUCGUCCUACUGUUCUGUGUAUGAGUAUAGGCGAGCAAC
rnacentral:rRNA from 1 species